GUAGGGAAUAUUGGACAAUGGGGGGAACCCUGAUCCAGCCAUGCCGCGUGGAGGAAGACUGCCCUCUGGGUUGUAAACUCCUUUUAUAUGGGAAGAACCGUCCUCAUUAAUGAGUGACCUGACGGUACCAUAGGAAUAAGAACCGGCUAACUCCGUUCCAGCAGCCGCGGUACUACGGAGGGUGCAAGCGUUAUCCGGAUUCACUGGGUUUAAAGGGUGCGUAGGCGGAUAAAUAAGUCAGUGGUGAAAUCAACGGGCUCGACCUGUAAACUGCCAUUGAUACUGUGUAUCUUGAAUAUGAGAGAGGUAGGCGGAAUGUUGCAUGUAGCGGUGAAAUGCUUAGAUAUGCUACGGAACACCGAUUGCGAAGGCAGCUUACUAUUUCGUAAUUGACGCUGAGGCGCGAAAGCGUGGGUAGCGAACAGGAUUAGAAACCCCUGUAGUCC
rnacentral:rRNA from 1 species